rnacentral:rRNA from 1 species
UACGUAGGGUGCGAGCGUUGUCCGGAAUUAUUGGGCGUAAAGAGCUCGUAGGCGGUGUGUCGCGUCGGCCGUGAAAACCUGCAGCUUAACUGUGGGCUUGCGGUCGAUACGGGCAUCACUGGAGUUCGGCAGGGGAGACUGGAAUUCCUGGUGUAGCGGUGAAAUGCGCAGAUAUCAGGAGGAACACCGGUGGCGAAGGCGGGGUCUCUGGGCCGUAACUGACGC